rnacentral:rRNA from 1 species
CCCACCUGAUCCCUUCCCGAACUCAGAAGUGAAACCUCUUAGCGCUGAUGGUAGUGUGGGAUUACCCAUGUGAGAGUAAGUCAUCGCCAGCU